rnacentral:rRNA from 1 species
UUUGGAGGGCAAGUCUGGUGCCAGCAGCCGCGGUAAUUCCAGCUCCAAUAGCGUAUAUUAAAGUUGUUGCAGUUAAAAAGCUCGUAGUUGAAUUUCGAGAUCAAAUUGUUGGUCGUGCCUUGGUACGCACUGGCAUUAUUGGUUUCUCCCUUCUGACGAACCAUGAUGUCAUUAAUUUGGUGUCUUGGGGAAUCAGGACUGUUACUUUGAAAAAAUUAGAGUGUUUAAAGCAGGCUCACGCUUGAAUACAUUAGCAUGGAAUAAUGAAAUAGGACGUUUGAUUCUAUUUUGUUGGUUUCUAGGAUCGACGUAAUGAUUAAUAGGGAUAGUUGGGGGCAUUAGUAUUCAAUUGUCAGAGGUGAAAUUCUUGGAUUUAUUGAAGACUAACUACUGCGAAAGCAUUUGCCAAGGAUGUUUUCAUUAAUCAAGAACGAAAGUUAGGGGAUCGAAGACGAUCAGAUACCGUCGUAGUCUUAACCAUAAACUAUGCCGACUAGGGAUCGGAUGAUGUUAAUUUUUUAAUGACUCAUUCGGCGCCUUACGGGAAAC